GGCAUGGUGGCGUAGUGGUUAGCACUGUCACCUCACAAGAAAGUCGUGGGUUUGAAUCCGGCCUGGGGCC